UACGAAGGGGGCUAGCGUUGUUCGGAAUUACUGGGCGUAAAGCGCACGUAGGCGGUUUUCCAAGUUGGAGGUGAAAUCCCUGGGCUCAACCCGGGAACUGCCUCCAAAACUGGAUCACUCGAGUCCGAGAGAGGUGAGUGGAAUUUCCAGUGUAGAGGUGAAAUUCGUAGAUAUUGGAAAGAACACCAGUGGCGAAGGCGGCUCACUGGCUCGGUACUGACGCUGAGGUGCGACAGCGUGGGGAGCAAACAGG
rnacentral:rRNA from 1 species